rnacentral:lncRNA from 1 species
UAGCAACAUACACCUAAAAAAUAAGGUUUCCUAUGAGUCGAAAGAUAAGCUGAGCUGAAGAAAGCUUCUACCAACUAGAUGCUACCAUCAGGGAGUAAUUUUUUUAGUUGUAAUUGUUCUUAGGUCCAGGUCUUCAGCAUUUUAAAGAAAUACAGAAUAAUAUAACAUUUGAUUUAUAUAUUACUUGCAUUUUAUCAUUUAGAAAUUUUAUAAUUUUAUACCUUUGUGCAGGUUAAUAAAUACAGCUUU